GAUGAACGCUGGCGGCGUGCCUAAUACAUGCAAGUCGAGCGAACGGACGAGAAGCUUGCUUCUCUGAUGUUAGCGGCGGACGGGUGAGUAACACGUGGAUAACCUACCUAUAAGACUGGGAUAACUUCGGGAAACCGGAGCUAAUACCGGAUAAUAUUUUGAACCGCAUGGUUCAAAAGUGAAAGACGGUCUUGCUGUCACUUAUAGAUGGAUCCGCGCUGCAUUAGCUAGUUGGUAAGGUAACGGCUUACCAAGGCAACGAUGCAUAGCCGACCUGAGAGGGUGAUCGGCCACACUGGAACUGAGACACGGUCCAGACUCCUACGGGAGGCAGCAGUAGGGAACCUUCCGCAAUGGGCGAAAGCCUGACGGAGCAACGCCGCGUGAGUGAUGAAGGUCUUCGGAUCGUAAAACUCUGUUAUUAGGGAAGAACAUAUGUGUAAGUAACUGUGCACAUCUUGACGGUACCUAAUCAGAAAGCCACGGCUAACUACGUGCCAGCAGCCGCGGUAAUACGUAGGUGGCAAGCGUUAUCCGGAAUUAUUGGGCGUAAAGCGCGCGUAGGCGGUUUUUUAAGUCUGAUGUGAAAGCCCACGGCUCAACCGUGGAGGGUCAUUGGAAACUGGAAAACUUGAGUGCAGAAGAGGAAAGUGGAAUUCCAUGUGCAGCGGUGAAAUGCGCAGAGAUAUGGAGGAACACCAGUGGCGAAGGCGACUUUCUGGUCUGUAACUGACGCUGAUGUGCGAAAGCGUGGGGAUCAAACAGGAUUAGAUACCCUGGUAGUCCACGCCGUAAACGAUGAGUGCUAAGUGUUAGGGGGUUUCCGCCCCUUAGUGCUGCAGCUAACGCAUUAAGCACUCCGCCUGGGGAGUACGACCGCAAGGUUGAGACUCAAAGGAAUUGACGGGGACCCGCACAAGCGGUGGAGCAUGUGGUUUAAUUCGAAGCAACGCGAAGAACCUUACCAAAUCUUGACAUCCUUUGACAACUCUAGAGAUAGAGCCUUCCCCUUCGGGGGACAAAGUGACAGGUGGUGCAUGGUUGUCGUCAGCUCGUGUCGUGAGAUGUUGGGUUAAGUCCCGCAACGAGCGCAACCCUUAAGCUUAGUUGCCAUCAUUAAGUUGGGCACUCUAAGUUGACUGCCGGUGACAAACCGGAGGAAGGUGGGGAUGACGUCAAAUCAUCAUGCCCCUUAUGAUUUGGGCUACACACGUGCUACAAUGGACAAUACAAAGGGCAGCGAAACCGCGAGGUCAAGCAAAUCCCAUAAAGUUGUUCUCAGUUCGGAUUGUAGUCUGCAACUCGACUACAUGAAGCUGGAAUCGCUAGUAAUCGUAGAUCAGCAUGCUACGGUGAAUACGUUCCCGGGUCU
rnacentral:rRNA from 1 species